GUUAAGGGGGCUCAGAUCAGUGACUAAGCCCGCCCUGAAAGGGGUAUGGGUCUGUGGGGCCCUUCGGCCCCUGAUCAGGUCCAAUUAGAAUACCCUCGUUCUGCCCUUCGUAAAGUUGUAUGUGAAUUGCGCGCGCCUAUCCCUUUUAAUUUUCAUAUCGUCCUCCGAGAAUUACAACGAGAGAGGGAGAGAUAAAACAUUAAAACUUAGAGGGUUUUGUGGAUCGCCAUCGCCAACGGCAUGCUCUGCUCUUCUGUACAAGCCUCCGAUCUGUCAAUCUCCCGUAAUGUCGAGGAAACCUCAUCGGUAAGUCGCACGUUGAGAUCCAUAAGGAUGUGGAAGCGUUAGUCCGAUCUGUGUAAGAGACCUUGGUUGCGCAACCUUAAGACCUUCCACGUUGAAUCAUGAAGUGACGUCGAAGCGGCUGAAUAAGAUUCACAUAAUAGCAUCCCAGUAAGUCAUCAAUGAAGCCUAGAAAGAAAAAAAUAUUUGGGCAGAUCAUUUGCAGUCAGGAAGCAAAAAAGCUGGAGAUGAGCACAUAAAGUAUGCCGUGUUUCAGGCGAAGGGUUGUUUUGCUUAUUUCCAAUCCUGCAGAGUUCAUAGAAGAGACACAAGACACUGUAUCUCAUGGCAUACUUGUCUCAUCUCUUUCUCUACAGUUCUUUAAACUUGUUGUGAGACUAAAAUUUGUUCGAGAGCCUUAUUUUAAAGCCCCUUAUCAAACAACUACGGCUUCUACGAGCACUCUUGAUUCCAACGAUCGUUAGUCUGUCUGUUUAUCAAUGACUCAAUGGAUGGAAAAAGGCCCAUGGCUUACCGUUUAAUCUCGUGACAAAGGACCUGAGUUGCUUCACUAAACACAUCACUCCUUUUGAUCCAGCUCCUAAUAAAAUGCAAGGCAUAUUACCUGUUCACUUGGACAUUGAUCCCCACUGAAGCAUUAUACGUUGUGACCCCUCUAUAAUUUUGUGUUGCUGGUUUACAAUUUUGUCAUAUUGGUAUUCAUUCUAACUGAUACGCGGUUGAAGUUUGCAACAUGUGAUACAAUUGUAGAGGUGAUCUACAAGCAUACUAUCUCCACACCAAAGAAUCAAUGCAGAAAAACCCGGAGCUGCUGUUGUUUUGCUGACAAUCUUGUCUCUUUCCCCAACAAUGUCAAAGGGGCAACUGUUGUUGAUUGAAGAAGCUAGGUUUGUGGGGGGCUCUUGCUGUGGCCUAUGGGUUCUUCGGAGUCAUGAUUGGUGCUGGAACUCAGUGGGCAUCUUCGAUUGAGGCAUUCAAAGUUUUAGUUGGAAUGUAAGUUCCUUUCUAUAUUUUCUGAAUUCACUGACAUCUAUUUUCCGUUCUUUACGGUGGUUAAAUUUCUACCCUAAUGAAUCUCUGUGAUUUCAGACUGACCACAGGUGGCAUACUCUUGCCUAGUCUAGCAUAGUUUUAGAACUUUAAAUGAUCAACAAAGUAAAUUCUCACCGUCAUAAUUUUAUAAAAUUAAAAAACUAAAGAAUUUCAAGCUACUUUGCUAACCUUUCUAGAAAACGGACUUUUAUUCAA